rnacentral:rRNA from 1 species
UACGGAGGGUGCAAGCGUUAUCCGGAUUUAUUGGGUUUAAAGGGUGCGUAGGUGGCCUGUUAAGUCAGGGGUAAAAGACGGUAGCUUAACUAUCGCAGUGCCUUUGAUACUGACGGGCUUGAAUACACUAGAGGUAGGCGGAAUGUGACAAGUAGCGGUGAAAUGCAUAGAUAUGUCACAGAACACCAAUUGCGAAGGCAGCUUACUAUGGUGUCAUUGACACUGAGGCACGAAAGCGUGGGGAUCAAACAGG